GACAGAGGGUGCAAACGUUGCUCGGAAUUACUGGGCGUAAAGCGCGUGUAGGCGGACCGAUAAGUCAGGUGUGAAAUCCCCAGGCUCAACCUGGGAACUGCACUUGAAACUGCCGGUCUUGAGUGAUGGAGAGGAUGGCGGAAUUCCUGGUGUAGAGGUGAAAUUCGUAGAUAUCAGGAGGAACACCGGUGGCGAAGGCGGGUCUCUGGGCCGUAACUGACGCUGAGGAGCGAAAGCGUGGGGAGCGAACAGG
rnacentral:rRNA from 1 species